rnacentral:lncRNA from 1 species
UCUCUUCCAACCUAGAAAUCUGUGAUACUGUGAUACUGUGAUAUCAGACCCUCAAUAAAUAAAACGUCUUGAACCAUAUCAGUCCAAAAGGAGAAUUUUGUGUUGGUCAGAUGUGUUUAUGAAAAUGAUUGUAGUUUAGCCACUUUUUGAAGACAAGGAAUAUAGAAGAGAUUAUAUCAACUGCAGAUCAUCUGAAAGGAUUCCCAUUUAUUUUAAAAGCAGGAAAUAUGGGCCAACGUACAAAUUCUUGAGGAAAAAAACAGAUGUAGCAAGCAAGAAGAUACUGUGAACUGAACUCGACAAGUUAAUUAGGAAGUCUUGGAAAUGAAUCAUAUCUCUCAAAUUUUUUUUGUUUGUUUGUUUCAGUUGUAACUAUUCCUAAGGUAUUUGGGGAUGUUUUUGUACGUAAGGUUCUAUACACCCGAGGUAACCAAAGUCUGAAGUGGUGACAGUCCAAAAGAAUCCUGAUAAAUCAACUUCAUGCUUCCCUAGUAGGACAGCAGAUGUAAUUUUAAACUGAAAAACUGAGGAGAUAGUGCUACACCAGAAAAUAUGCCACUAAACAGGAGAGCAAAUGUGCUGAUGAGUACAAAAACGUCUGUCUAGGAGCUAAUGCUACAGAGCCACCAUUGCCUGCCAAAGCAAACAUUAUAUGAGUUUUGACUUCAAUGAGUGUGGAAAUUUUGUAGUACCAGUCGGCUCUUUUCACUCCCUUGCACGUUACCCAGAAAAACAUCAGGGCAACCUGGAAAGUUACAAGAAGGUGCGUUAUGAUGAUGACCAGGACUAGCACUGGACGCAUAAACUGAUACUACACUGUCAACUCUCCUGAAGCAAGCGACAUACUUAGUGACAUAUUGGAGGAGAGGGGAGUGCUUAUCCCUUCGAGGAAGUCUGCCUCUGAUACCUGAGUCAACAAUCUGUUCUUUGGUUUCACUAAGAAUAUUAAAGGUGUA